GAUGAACGCUGGCGGCGUGCCUAAUACAUGCAAGUCGAGCGAACAGACGAGGAGCUUGCUCCUCUGACGUUAGCGGCGGACGGGUGAGUAACACGUGGAUAACAUACCUAUAAGACUGGGAUAACUUCGGGAAACCGGAGCUAAUACCGGAUAACAUGAUGAACCGCAUGGAUCAACAGAGAAAGACGGUCUUGCUGUCACAUAUAGAUGGAUCCGCGCCGCAUUAGCUAGUUGGUAAGGUAACGGCUUACCAAGGCAACGAUGCGUAGCCGACCUGAGAGGGUGAUCGGCCACACUGGAACUGAGACACGGUCCAGACUCCUACGGGAGGCAGCAGUAGGGAAUCUUCCGCAAAGGGCGAAAGCCUGACGGAGCAACGCCGCGUGAGUGAAGAAGGUCUUCGGAUCGUAAAGCUCUGUUAUUAGGGAAGAACAGAUGUGUAAGUAACUAUGCCCGUCUUGACGGUACCUAAACAGAAAGCCACGGCUAACUACGUG
rnacentral:rRNA from 1 species